rnacentral:rRNA from 1 species
UGGGGAAUCUUCCGCAAUGGACGAAAGUCUGACGGAGCAACGCCGCGUGAGUGAUGACGGCCUUCGGGUUGUAAAGCUCUGUUAAUCGGGACGAAUGGUUCUUGUGCAAAUAGUGCGAGGAUUUGAUGGUACCGGAAUAGAAAGCCACGGCUAACUACGUGCCAGCAGCCGCGGUAAUACGUAGGUGGCAAGCGUUGUCCGGAAUUAUUGGGCGUAAGGCGCACGCAGGCGGAUUGGUCAGUCUGUCUUAAAAGUUCGGGGCUUAACCCCGUGAUGGGAUGGAAACUGACAAUCUAGAGUAUCGGAGAGGAAAGUGGAAUUCCUAGUGUAGCGGUGAAAUGCGUAGAUAUUAGGAAGAACACCAGUGGCGAAGGCGACUUUCUGGACGAAAACUGACGCUGAGGCGCGAAAGCCAGGGGAGCGAACGGG